rfam:Triticum aestivum genome assembly, contig: Triticum_aestivum_CS42_TGACv1_scaffold_488491_6AS
CAAGUACUCCCUCCGUCCGGAAUUACUUGUCAUCAAAAUGGAUGUGUCUAGAACUAAAAUACAUCUAGAUACAUCCAUUUCAAUGACAAGUAUUUUCGGACGAAGGGAGUACAAG